GUCCUUCAAGAGAACCCUUGUACCAAUAAAUUCCCAGAUGUUGAGGAGGAUAAUUGUCGGUUGCUUGGCGGAGUUGUUGAGGGGAGAAGGUACGGAUGGGAAUAGGCUUGGCAUUGCGAACAAAAGAACCCUUAAUGAGAACAGUUCGUCCUUCAAGAGAAACCUUGUACCGAAUAGAGAACCCCGUUACCAGCUGUUCAGAAGAAAAGUUGUUGGUUGCUUGGCGGAGCUGUUGAGCGGAGAAGGUACGGAUGGGAAUAGGCUUGGCAUUGCAAGAGGCAAUCAGCUUCUCAAGUAACUUGCUUCCAUUCUCAUAAAACGCUCUCUCUCUUUCCUCUCUUUCCUUUCUUUCCCUUCUUGUUUUAUUAAAGAAAUGAUCUGACGUGAACCAACUCCAGCGCAUAAUAGCUUGAAUGUGGAACUUGCUACUCUGCUACCGAGGGAGGCUCAAUGGAGCGUUUCAUUCGAUUGUGGAUAACAAUUAAAUGCUUACAAUUCAAAGUGAAGGGAAGUAAAUACCGUUCAAAGUCCAUACCCCAUGUGUUGACUUGGGAGGCGCAGCGGUUUCACAUUAGUUGUUGAUUUGUCAAUUGUCAUCCACGCAUCUCUCUUUCUUUUUUUAUUUUUUAUUUUAUUUUUAAGGGACUCUUUUUUUAUUUGCUUUAGUGCUUUACAGUAAGUUCCAUUCAACCAAAAAUGAAAGAUGUGUAUUGUUGAA